AGCGACCCAGCCGUGUCCUCGUCGGCGCCUGUGCACGUCCGCCUCACAGCACGCCCGAGCGCCCCGUCCUUGAGUCGUCACCACCUGGGAAAGCAGCGACGAUCCGCCUCACCAAGAUGACAACGACUGCCUCAAGUUGGGGGGACACAUCCAGUUGGUGAUAGACCAGGGGAGACGUUGCUCCAUGAACAUGGGAGUACAAACAGGAGCAGGUGGAUAAACACUCCACGGAGCUCACCAGAAUAAAAAUAGGGGAAGAAACUGAAUCUGGGGAAGACAUUGUUAAUAUCAUCAGUUACAUUGCAAGUUCAAGGAAUAUCAUUGGCACAGCAGAGAGGUUGCAAACAAGAAGUUGAGUUUAUCACCUGGUGGCAUUAAAAUGUAUCAUUAUUCCUCCAGAUGAAGAGACAGAAAAUAGCCUUUGCAAAGGAUAAGAGGGCGACAACAGAAUUAAGAUUGCUUUGUGUGUUUGUUGAGUUGGCCUUGAGCUGCUGGGUGGAGGCUAAUCUGGAAAAGAAGCCAAUUCAAGCUGUAAUUGAGUAACAAAUGAGGUCAUGUUUUUCAUAUGUAGUUGACGAACUUAUGUGUUAUUAGAUGUGCUCUUCCUCCUUUGUUGUAUGCAAAU